AUUGAACGCUGGCGGCGUGCUUAACACAUGCAAGUCGAGCGGUAACAGGCGUAGCAAUACGUGCUGACAAGCGGCGAACGGGUGCGUAAUACAUGGGCAUCUGCCUUUUAGUGGGGAAUAACCCGGCGAAAGCCGGGCUAAUGCCGCAUAAGAUCUUCGGAUGAAAGCGGGGGAUCGUAAGACCUCGCGCUGAAAGAUGAGCCCAUGCCGGAUUAGCUAGUUGGUGAGGUAACGGCUCACCAAGGCAACGAUCCGUAGCUGGUCUGAGAGGACGGCCAGCCACACUGGGACUGAGACACGGCCCAGACUCCUACGGGAGGCAGCAGUGGGGAAUAUUGGACAAUGGGCGAAAGCCUGAUCCAGCGACGCCGCGUGUGUGAAGAAGGCCUGCGGGUUGUAAAGCACUUUCGAUGGGAACGAAAUGUGCCGGGCUAAUACCCCGGCAAGCUGACGUUACUCAAUGAAGAAGCACCGGCUAACUCUGUGCCAGCAGCCGCCGUAACAC
rnacentral:rRNA from 1 species